rnacentral:rRNA from 1 species
UGUUAGGUUGAUCCUGCCGGACUGACUGCUUUCUUAUUGGUACUAAGCCAUGCGAGUCGUUGUACAUACAAGGCGGACUGCUCAGUAACACGUAGUUAACUUAACCUAUGGAUGGGCAUAACCUCGGGAAACUGAGAAUAAUACCCAAUGGACCACAGUGCCUGGAAUGGCCUGUGGUUGAAAUGAUUUAUCGCCGUAGGAUAGGACUGCGGCCUAUCAGCUUGUUGGUGAGGUAAUGGCCCACCAAGGCUAUAACAGGUACGGGCUCUGAGAGGAGGGGCCCGGAGAUGGGUACUGAGACACGGACCCAGGCCCUAUGGGGCGCAGCAGGCGAGAAACCUUUGCAAUGUGCGAAAGCACGACAAGGUUAAUCCGAGUGUCUCCUGCUAAAGGAGUCUUUUGUCAGUUGUAGAAUCACUGGUGAAUAAGGGGUGGGCAAGUUCUGGUGUCAGCCGCCGCGGUAAAACCAGCACCUCGAGUGGUCAGGAGGUUUAUUGGGCCUAAAGCAUCCGUAGCCGGUUGCAUAAGUUAUCGGUUCAAUCUAUGCGCUUAACGUAUAGGCCGCC